rnacentral:rRNA from 1 species
GUGGAUUAGAUACCCUAGUAGUCCACGCCGUAAACGAUGGGUGCUAGGUGUCAGGGGCUUUGACCCCUCUGGUGCCGUAGCUAACGCAUUAAGCACCCCGCCUGGGGAGUACGGCCGCAAGGCUAAAACUCAAAGGAAUUGACGGGGGCCCGCACAAGCGGUGGAGCAUGUGGUUCAAUUCGACGCAACGCGCAGAACCUUACCUGGGCUAGAAAAUGCAGGGACCUGGUCGAAAGAUCGGGGUGCUCUUCGGAGAACCUGUAGUUAGGUGCUGCACGGCUGUCGUCAGCU